AACGCUGGCGGCGUGCCUAAUACAUGCAAGUCGAACGGUCUUUCUAUGGAAGCUUGCUCCACUGAGAAGAUAGUGGCGAACGGGUGAGUAACACGUGGGUAACCUGCCCAUAAGAGGGGGGAUAACAUCCGGAAACGGGUGCUAAUACCGCAUAGUUUUCUUGAUCGCAUGAUCGGGAAAGGAAAGACGGCCUUUGUGCUGUCGCUUAUGGAUGGACCCGCGGCGUAUUAGUUAGUUGGUGAGGUAACGGCUCACCAAGACGAUGAUACGUAGCCGACCUGAGAGGGUGAUCGGCCACAUUGGGACUGAGACACGGCCCAAACUCCUACGGGAGGCAGCAGUAGGGAAUCUUCCGCAAUGGACGAAAGUCUGACGGAGCAACGCCGCGUGAGUGAAGAAAGGUUUUCGGAUCGUAAAACUCUGUUGUCAGAGAAGAACAAGUUGGAGAGUAACUGCUCCAGCCUUGACGGUAUCUGACCAGAAAGCCACGGCUAACUACGUGCCAGCCGCUGC
rnacentral:rRNA from 1 species